UCCCUGGUGGUCCGGUGAUUAAGACUCUGUGCUUUCAAUGCAGGGGACAUGGGUUCAAUCCCUGGUCAGGGAA
rnacentral:tRNA from 1 species